AGACCCGAAACCCGGUGAUCUAGCCAUGGGCAGGUUGAAGGUUGGGUAACACUAACUGGAGGACCGAACCGACUAAUGUUGAAAAAUUAGCGGAUGACCUGUGGCUGGGGGUGAAAGGCCAAUCAAACCGGGAGAUAGCUGGUUCUCCCCGAAAGCUAUUUAGGUAGCGCCUCGUGAAUUCAUCUCCGGGGGUAGAGCACUGUUUCGGCUAGGGGGCCAUCCCGGCUUACCAACCCGAUGCAAACUGCGAAUACCGGAGAAUGUUAUCACGGGAGACACACGGCGGGUGCUAACGUCCGUCGUGAAGAGGGAAACAACCCAGACCGCCAGCUAAGGUCCCAAAGUCAUGGUUAAGUGGGAAACGAUGUGGGAAGGCCCAGACAGCCAGGAUGUUGGCUUAGAAGCAGCCAUCAUUUAAAGAAAGCGUAAUAGCUCACUGGUCGAGUCGGCCUGCGCGGAAGAUGUAACGGGGCUAAACCAUGCACCGAAGCUGCGGCAGCGACACUCAGGUGUUGUUGGGUAGGGGAGCGUUCUGUAAGUCUGCGAAGGUGGCCUGUGAGGGUUGCUGGAGGUAUCAGAAGUGCGAAUGCUGACAUAAGUAACGAUAAAGCGGGUGAAAAGCCCGCUCGCCGGAAGACCAAGGGUUCCUGUCCAACGUUAAUCGGGGCAGGGUGAGU
rnacentral:rRNA from 2 species